rnacentral:tRNA from 1 species
GAUUCCGUAGCUCAGCGGUAGAGCAUCUGACUUUUAAUCAGAGGGUCUUGGGUUCGAGUCCCAACGCGCCCACCA